rnacentral:rRNA from 1 species
UACGUAGGUGGCAAGCGUUGUCCGGAAUUAUUGGGCGUAAAGCGCGCGCAGGCGGCCUUUUAAGUCUGAUGUGAAAGCCCCCGGCUCAACCGGGGAGGGUCAUUGGAAACUGGAAGGCUUGAGUGCAGAAGAGAAGAGCGGAAUUCCACGUGUAGCGGUGAAAUGCGUAGAGAUGUGGAGGAACACCAGUGGCGAAGGCGGCUCUCUGGGACGGUACUGACGCUGAGACGCGAAAGCGUGGGGAGCGAACAGG